rnacentral:rRNA from 1 species
AGCGAACGCUGGCGGCAGGCCUAACACAUGCAAGUCGAACGAACCUUUCGGGGUUAGUGGCGGACGGGUGAGUAACACGUGGGAACGUGCCUUUAGGUUCGGAAUAACUCAGGGAAACUUGUGCUAAUACCGAAUGUGCUCUUCGGGGGAAAGAUUUAUCGCCUUUAGAGCGGCCGGCGUCUGGUUAGGUAGUUGGUUGAGGUAAUGGCUCACCAAGGCGACGGUCAGUAGCUGGUCUGAGAGGAUGAUCAGCCACAUUGGGACUGAGGCACGGCCCAAACUCCUACGGGAGGCAGCAGUGGGGAAUCUUGCGCAAUGGGCGAAAGCCUGACGCAGCCAUGCCGCGUGAAUGAUGAAGGUCUUAGGAUUGUAAAAUUCUUUCACCGGAGACGAUAAUGACGGUACCCGGAGAAGAAGCCCCGGCUAACUUCGUG